GUCAGCCGCCGCGGUAAUACGUAGGGGGCAAGCGUUAUCCGGAUUUACUGGGUGUAAAGGGGAGCGUAGACGGUUCUGCAAGUCUGGAGUGAAAGCCCGGGGCUCAACCCCGGGACGUGCUUUGGAAAUACUGUGGGACUAGAGUGCAGGAGAGGUAAGUGGAAUCCCUAGUGUAGCGGUGAAAUGCGUAGAUAUUAGGAGGAACACCAGUGGCGAAGGCGGCUUACUGGACUGUAACUGACGUUGAGGCUCGAAAGCGUGGGGAGCAAACAGGAUUAGAUACCCUGGUCAGU
rnacentral:rRNA from 1 species